rnacentral:rRNA from 1 species
UACGAAGGGGGCAAGCGUUGUUCGGAAUCAUUGGGCGUAAAGCGCGUGUAGGCGGUCUAAUAAGUCGAGUGUGAAAUCCCUAGGCUCAACCAAGGAAGUGCAUUCGAAACUAUUAGACUAGAAGAUGGUAGAGGAUGGUGGAAUUCCAGGUGUAGAGGUGAAAUUCGUAGAUAUCUGGAGGAAUACCGGUGGCGAAGGCGGCCAUCUGGGCCAUUCUUGACGCUGAGACGCGAAAGCGUGGGUAGCAAACAGGAUUAGAUACCCCGGUAGU